UGCUGCUGGUUCUGCCGCUCAAACAGUAUAUAUGUAUCAAUUCUCUUCGAUCUUCCUGACACACUAAUAAAUAUUAUGCGGAUGAGCAAUUCAAAUGUCACCAAUAUACGCGCAACAAAAUACAAACAAAGCCUUAUCAGUUGCCAUAUUUGUUUCAAUAUCCAUUAAAAUAGGAAAACCCAUGAACAAUAACCAAACAUAUUUGAAAAACUUUCAGAUUACUUUUAUGUUGUUUUUUGAAAAACGAAACAGUUUACAUUGUUGGUUUAAAUAAUCUUACCUUAUAAAAAUAGUCUAAUUAUCCAUGGUCCACACACAAACAAACAAAAGACUAAUGAUACACAUUCUUUAAGUAACAUUAAGUGCAAAGGGCGUGUUUUGGCUAAACGCGAUCCGCUGUCGUUGCCCUUUCACUCUUCCAAAUUGCCCGUUCGAAGACAUGCAUCUUGCGGCCAAGGCGGAAGACGCGGCCCUAAUCUAAACAGCACUCUGCUGAUGGCGCGCGGAUGAGAUUAUCUCGUCUCGCGCCCUAACCUUUCUUCCCUUGGUUUUAGCAGCAUCCAAGCAUUCGGCACUGGCGCCUAUACACUUGGCCACAAAUGACAGGAGACAAGAGGUGAAACAUCUCCCUUUGUUACCUUCUGAAAUGCAGGUAAAUGUCAGGUCGAGCUCAUCUGUGGACUCUCCCCGCCCGGCCACGCAGAACCACAGCCCAGCAAAUCCUCCGCGAGGCGGAGGUACUGUGACAAAUUCCGCAGGGGUCCCGGAAGGACCAGCUGAGACCUUGCGCGUGUGUGUUCUGGUUUCCAUCAGUCCUCACAACGAAACGCUGCAAAGCGAAGAUGGAUAAUAAGGAGAGCCUGCCCCGGCCUGCCAGCCACACAAAACGGCAUUUAUCUGAGGGUCAUUGUCAUGCUGCUGGAAGCAGCUCCCGUGCCGCUGCUGACGGAUGUCGUACUUCAGACAUGGUAAAUUCCUUUCCGAAUCCAUUUUAAUGCAAACCUGUGUUAUGGGUGUUUUCCUAUAAAAAUCACUCGGACUGACUUGGGGCAAGAGUUGGUUCCUAACUAUGUGGAUAAAAAAAAAACAAAGGUACUAUGUAAACUAACUUUUUGGAAAUUUGACUAAAAAUACUAAACAACAACAACAAAAAAAAAAGUAGAAAACUUUGGUCAUAGACUAUGGUAAACAUGAAAAACUGGUCCUCAUGUCACAUGACGUUAGGUAGGUAGAUGGUGCGGUGCUAUUACUGAAUUUAACAAGGACUCCCCAGAUUCACAGCGUUUACAAGCCAGCCACAUUUUCAUUAAACGCGGAGAGUCAGAGUGUUUAACAUUAACCAAUAAAUUGUACAUGUAGCGGCGAGCAGUCAUGCAGACGUUUACAAUAUAAAUAAAACGUAGUGUUUAUCACGGGCAAUGGCGGCAAAUUGCGCCGUAUCGCCUCCUAAAUGUUUCCGUCAGCUGAUCACGUCAUAGCACCAUGUCGAGGACGGCCCGUGGUCCCGGGGCUGACGUGUCUGCAGCGUCAGAGGUGAGGGUCCAUGUUAGUGUUCUGGUAGGCGGGUUGCCGAUGCACGCCACUGCAAGGUCCCAGAGAAAAAAUCCGGAAAGUAGGUGAGUGACCGUUAAUCCCUUUGUUUGGAAACAGCGGAAGUUUCCCCUGACCCACAGCCUCUCCUGCUCCAUCUGAACUUCUGGGCUGCCAUGGCCAACUCCGCACAUGGGAGCGCUGGUCUGUCACGCCAGCCAUUAUGAGGGAAGCCCGCCAGCCAGCAUACCCUUAUCCUGGUUGGUAUUUAGUAGAAUAUUGCACUGCAUUGUGCUAAUGUUAAAAUACCAUAUUAAUCACAUUACCCUUCCACAGGACCCAGUUAAAUCACAUGAUGCAGUCUAGGUAUUUAGUGAUUAAAUAAAUGAAUUAUUAGUUUCAGCUCCAGCAAAGAAUAGCUGUUGCAGGAAUGAGCAAACUCCUUAACCGACAUUGUCCCAUGCAGUGUACAGCACAAUGUCCAGCUGAAUGGACAGGUAACACUGUGACUAUUCGAUAACCGUGAUGAAAACAGAGAUCCUCCUUUCACUGAUUAACGCAUUUUUUUUUUCCACGCACUGAGGCGUUGAAGGAAACAUUGACAGAAUGGCAGAACCUUUGACCCGCACUUCCCAAAGCACUACAGAGAAGCAAACGCAAGAUUAGGAAGGAUGACCGCAGCAAACAGGGCCCACCCAGGCUGUGCAGGGACCAGUGUUAUGCAAGAAGGUGGAGACAAAGAAAGGCAGUUACAUAGGGUGGCUUCAGGGCUUCUCUUUGGGGAAUAAAACACAUAAUGUUAGGAAUCGGACAUCAUUUUAUGCAAACAGCCAUUUUCAAUUCUGGGAAACUCACACAGAAGAAAGCAAAAUAUGGUGAAAUGCAUGGCUAUGGAAAAAAUAACUUAAUCUUUUCUUUUAUUUUUUUAUCCAGGGCAGAUGAGACAUACAGUUCAAGUAAUGAAUAAUGUGGGGGGUGGGUCACAUGGAGCCUAUUCUAGGCAGCACAAGGCUAGGGUACAGCCUGGAUGAGAUGCCAAAAUUAAAGAUGCAAGAUCUUUAUUGACCACGUGGAACAGACGCAUUGCAAUCCUUGUAUGUCCAGCCAUACUUGGCUAGAAAGAGACUAAACACAGUGUCAAACAUUACAGGCAGUAAAACUAGACAAUGACAUAAAGACGUGCAGGUGCCAUGAAUGCGGACACUGCCUUGUGUUUGCUGGUACAGAGACACUGCAGAGACAUCCAGUAGGUCUGGAGCUGGAAUCAGAGAAGGCAUUUUGUGGCACAGAUGUUCUCAGGCUGGCUAUGCCUGAAAGCCCGAGGCUGCUGUCGCUGCACAGCUUCAACUGACGUGUUUACAGAAGUGCUGUUACUUUACAGGAGAGCAGGGAGGAUCGAGCGGGCAGUCAGCAUGGGCGUGUGCAGUGUGGGAAGAGUUUGCCUUUUGGCAGACCUUGGUGGAUUUCCCCGCACGCUGCCAGCCUUCGACGGCCCACUAGCCAGUCUCAUGCCAGCUAAACUGGCACAGUUACUCGCACGGUUACUGCGCCUGAUGUCGUUAUUCUCCACCUAUGGCUAACCUCCUCAUACCCAUGGCCGCUAAUCUAGGGCUCUUUUUCAGAGUUUCCACCAACAUCUUUCCAGUUUUUUUUUCUUUUUUUGAUUUCAUCCUACAGAAUGGAAUUUAAGAAGCAAGGAGCAGCCCAUUGGAUACCAUUAUUGCUGAGAUCAGUACUUAGACUCCUUUUGUUUACGAAAGGGUCAACUUGGCACCCGUCUUCCAAGUGGGAAAUGUGUCCAUCUCUCAUUUUUGGGUACAGAUGGGAGCGUGACUGAGUCCCCAGGAAGAACGUAAAAAUGAAAGGGUGUCCAAACAUGGUAUGCAAAGGACCUUGACCUUGAUAUGGUAAACGGCUCCAUGCCACUGAUUUCACACUGAUUUCCAGCUGUGUUCAGGUCUCAUUCAAUAUCUUGCUCUCAGGCCUGGUUCCUGAUAGGCCGGCUCUCCCGAUGCCCCCUUUUUUGAUCAGAUAAAGCAGUGUUUCCCAAACCGGUCCUCAGGUAUCCACAGACGGUCCACGUUUUUGGUCCCUAGUACCUCCUAGUUCCCUACCAGACAAUCCCCAGGAGCUGGGAGGGAGCAAAAACAUGGACUGUGUGCGUGUCCUCCAAGGACUGGGAUGGGAAACACCGAGAUAAAAGGUUCCAUUCUUCACUUCACAAAUGCCUUUCGGAGAAAAAAAAAGAAAGGUUGUGGUUACGACGCCAUCAAAACAGAGAUAAGGGCGUAGCGAGGGGGCUGAAAGGGGAAGACUGAAGGAAGCCCAACUGUGCCUCAAGGACGGCUCUGUUUGCAACAGUGUAUCACUCUAAGCGAACACAGACUCAUAAUGUAACUGUGAACUGUUUGAUCCAGCAUUGACAGAAUCACAAUGCACAAUUGCCAAGUACAAAACAGGAAUUUGUUUUGGUGCAGGUGGCGGAAUGACAUAUACAAUUUAAACAUAGACAUGAAUACACAAAACAAUAAACAGAAUGAAAAUAAAACAGAGAAGAAAUAAAGAUGUCUCAUCAAUAAACAAACAUGUAGAUGUAUAAAUAAAGGUAAGACAUCCAGAUGUAGGGAACAAACUUUUAAAGUCAAUAAUUGUGUAAAAUACAGUGGGUGAUUGGCCUGCAGGUCUUUGUUUUUAGAUAUUCUGUUCUGUGAGCACUUGGGGAAGACUGAAGAUGAAUGUGUUUUUGUUACUUUUACCUAGUAAAAUACCCAUCCACCCAUUUUCCAUACCAUUUACACACCAAUAAAAUGCUGUAUUUAUUUUGCACCUCUGAGAUUUACUGUUUUCCUCCCCCCCCUCCACACAUCCACUGUGUUUAUACAUACUCAUGCAGCGUACAGAGUUGGUGAAGUCGGUCGAAACUUCUCACCUUCCAAUACAUUACAUUAUAUUACGUACAUUACAAUAUACAUGCUGCAGCCGUGUAUCGUUUAUCGCUGGGCAAGGAUGCGGGGGAGUUGGGCGAGGGGAUGGCUCAUUUACAGAAUUACACUAAAUAUUUUCAAGGCACUACAUUUUUUAUGACAACAAACUGAUUUUAAGUAUCAUUUUAAGUGCCAUUUAUACUGUGGAAACUUAAAUGUCAGUGCAUCUGAGAUUUGUUACAGUGGCGGUUAGGAACAAGCUAUGGCUUUGACGGUUUUCCUAUUAUCUGUGCAUAAUCCACAAGUCCGUGAAGUUUUUGCACAAGAUAUGCCCGUCCAGGGCCAUCGAAAACCUUGGACACCCCUACUUUACACAAGAGUCUGUAUUUAAUCUUCAUGUUCCUAGUAAAGCAGCACAAAGAUCAGCUUUUGAGUCCCCCCCAGCUUCUGUGCCUUUUUGUGCUGGGGGGCUUGUUCCAUCUUUGACUGACACCCCAGCCAUGAGUCCUUUGAGGCUCCAGUUCAAAGAGCAGGGGGACUAAACGAUUUGCCAGCCCAAAUAGCACCUGUGCUGCACAGCCAGACCUGUUGAGCCAUGUCCCCCCCCCCCCCAAAAAAAAAUAACAUCAUACCUGAGGGUGAGUGACUUUUCAAGAGUGUGGCAGCAUCUGUGUAUGACUUUACACAUAGAUGUGGGGGGGUGAUUAUGUUGUUUUUUCAGAAAGCCUUUAGUGAGGGCUAUUCUAUGGCACUCGGAACAUUUUGGAAAUUCACCUUGUGAAGGGGGGUGUAGGUGCUUGGCAAGAGCACACCUGUGUCCCCUACCCCAAAUCCCACCUAAGGGACUUAACUCCUUGGUGUCCAGGAGGAGGUACCGUUGGUACUGAUUCUGUGGCAAGUACUGAUCACAAAUUGACACACAGAGUUCGGGAAAUUGAUUGUUACGCAAAAUGACAGCCAGGUUUACACCAUAAAAUGACCCACACACAUUCCCUUACAUCUCUCAGCAUGCCUGCCAUUAAAGCAUAAAAUUUUAAAAUACACAAUACACAUGCAAAUAUUCAUCAUACUCAAGCUAUGCAAUAAAAUUAGUUUUUGAUUAUAUAAUUUUACAGUCUGCCUUGUGCCCGUAGCCUCUGGGAUGAGCUCUGGACCCUGCGACCCUGAAUAGAUGGAUGGAUGAAUUUUACAGUCUGUUCAGGUAUAGACUGCAAAACACCUAGACUGUAAGUGAUGUGUUAUAUGUACCCACCUAUUGGCCUGUUCUUUGUAUUUUGCUGAUUUUUGGGUGAUAGGUGGCGGUCUGCAUCUUAUUUAGCUUCGGUUCGUAUGUCUUUUGUGGGUUUUUUUUUCCUGCACCCCAAAGACACAAGCUGCGCUCCGUCUGAACUCGGAAGUCAGAGUUUCUGAGUUCCUGGUUGGAAAUUUCAACUGGAACGCCCUCCUGAAGUCGGAAAGUCAGAGGAACCUCUGUAACCCGACCUUAGAAUUCAACAUGGCUGCACCAUUUAUCAACAGGAGUUAAAACUGUAGUUUUAUACUGUCUAUUACCACUUAUGUCUUAUCUGCGUUUCAGUUAAAUCGGUCAUGCACACCGUACUGGCCAACCGCACUCUCUGUACGCGUUGCUACAGUGUUUGCCUACACAAAAUACCGCCUAAUAUGUUGUUAUCAACUGACAUUGCUAACAAUGGCUAACAAUUAACUGAGCCAGAACUGGGGCCCGUUUCAGAAAGCAGGAUUUCUUGCUUAGCCGGAUAACUACUGAGAAUUGGAUGACAGCAUUUUUAAAAAUGCCUUGAAUUUGUGAAAUUUGACAGUAGUUGUAGCAGUAGAUCCUUUCUGCCACGUGGAUGAAGGACAUUAACAUGGGUGGUGACAUAAACAGUUCAGAUAUUCGCUGACUCUUCUACACAGAGCACCUUUCAAUUUUUUUUCUCUAUUUAACCAACAGGAAAUGUUUGUGGAAUAUUUCAUGUACAAUCAGUUCCUUAAAAGAUCUCCAGGGCCGUGGACCAUCAAGCUUCAGUUGAUGUCUAUGACUCUAACGGUGACACUACAGCCUGAAGUCAAAACAAAACGGAAACGCAGCCCCCCCCCCAUAUUGCUCUGAGGUGUUGUGUGGCAGAGUCGGCCGUCUGGGAGGUCUUUACGGGUCACCUUUUGGCAGUACGCACUCAUCACCCUACCCUCAGCAACGGAGACCAUUAGCAGUGUCAGAGCACUAUAAACAGCACGAUUUAUGUCGGCCCGGGUACAUCUUUUUGUGGCGAUUCAGCUCGAUUUUCCAGUUUCAGAUAAACAGUGUGCGGCGGGACGGAUUCACAGGGAACUUUCCAGAAGCUUUCUUAUGACAAAUGAUGCUGUCCCGCGGUGGAGUUUGGCGUUACUAAUGGCGCUGCGGCCUGCGGAAGUUCACACACUCACAUGCUCGCCUGGGUGGGUGCAUAUGAACGCGUGUCAGACUAAUGUUAAAAGAUUCUUUUUGUAGCUAGACAAGUAUCCUAGUUCCCAUAAUAUCAGAGGUUUCCAGCAUCCAGUUACUGUACUGGUUCAUUGACCUGGUUCCUCCCAUGGGGGGGGGGAUAAUAGCACCUGAGAACAGAUACCCCCUCCCCUCAUAAGAUCACCUGUCACAUUCAUAGUGUAUUUAAAUACAUUUCUGUAGCUAAAGAGCAGCUGUGGUUUCCAUGGCGAUGUUCCAGGCACCUCAGCCAAUCAGCUGCUCUGAGGCGCUGGCUGUUCCAGUCUCCUUUCCUCUGUAUUUACCAGAAACCACCAAUCAGCACUGGCGUCUAAGUCCUGGCCAGCAGUCAAGUUUUUUUUUUCCAUGUGGGACCUCUAAACAUUCUGAACAUCUGCAACAUUACAAAAACUCAUAGUAGCCAUUUGUGGCCCCCUCCACAUUGUCCUCCCUCUGGGGGCAGCCAGUCAUCCUGGUUUAAUUCAGACGAGAGCUGAGGGUCCAGCCUCAGAGGGUACCUUUCGGGAAGGAUCAGGGAGGGGUCAAGAGUGGGUCAGGGAGAGGUGAGGUUAGGGUCUACAGAAGUUCAGGAGAAGGUCAAGCUGGGAAUCUCCCACCAAGCGUCAAUGAACAAGGGUGGAGCUGGCAGCAACUACUGGCCGCCAUUUUAACACAGCUGUAACCCCCCCCCAGGAUGAGACUAAGCAGAUGCAGUGAAGUGGAAAUGCUGCCACGGAAGUUCAGGAUUUGUGUCAUCUCAGAAUGAAGGAGGAGCCCCAGAUAAUCUCCUGUAAGCUGAGUCUCCCCUGAUGCCUUCAUGUCACUGAGGUCCAGGAGCUCAGAUGAAAAGCUCCAGUUUCUAAUGGGAUGAGGGAAGCCUGUCAUUUGUUCAGGAAAGAGGCAAUAUACUGUACAUAAGUGUAAGGACAUUAAAAUAAGUGAAGUAAA